rnacentral:rRNA from 1 species
GAUGAACGCUGGCGGCGUGCCUAAUACGUGCAAGUCGAGCGAACAGAUAAGGAGCUUGCUCCUUUGACGUUAGCGGCGGACGGGUGAGUAACACGUGGGUAACCUAUCUAUAAGACUGGAAUAACUCCGGGAAACCGGGGCUAAUGCCGGAUAACAUGUUGAACCGCAUGGUUCUACAGUGAAAGGCGGCUUUGCUGUCACUUAUAGAUGGACCCGCGCCGUAUUAGCUAGUUGGUGAGGUAACGGCUCACCAAGGCAACGAUACGUAGCCGACCUGAGAGGGUGAUCGGCCACACUGGAACUGAGACACGGUCCAGACUCCUACGGGAGGCAGCAGUAGGGAAUCUUCCGCAAUGGGCGAAAGCCUGACGGAGCAACGCCGCGUGAGUGAUGAAGGUCUUCGGAUCGUAAAACUCUGUUAUUAGGGAAGAACAAAUGCGUAAGUAACUGUGCGCGUCUUGACGGUACCUAAUCAGAAAGCCACGGCUAACUACGUG